rnacentral:rRNA from 1 species
CUGAUGCAGCAACGCCGCGUGAGGGACGACGGCCUUCGGGUUGUAAACCUCUUUUAGCAGGGAAGAAGCGAAAGUGACGGUACCUGCAGAAAAAGCGCCGGCUAACUACGUGCCAGCAGCCGCGGUAAUACGUAGGGCGCAAGCGUUAUCCGGAAUUAUUGGGCGUAAAGAGCUCGUAGGCGGUUUGUCGCGUCUGCUGUGAAAACCCGAGGCUCAACCUCGGGCCUGCAGUGGGUACGGGCAGACUAGAGUGCGGUAGGGGAGAUUGGAAUUCCUGGUGUAGCGGUGGAAUGCGCAGAUAUCAGGAGGAACACCGAUGGCGAAGGCAGAUCUCUGGGCCGUAACUGACGCUGAGGAGCGAAAGGGUGGGGAGCAAACAGGCUUAGAUACCCUGGUAGUCCACCCCGUAAACGUUGGGAACUAGUUGUGGGGACCAUUCCACGGUUUCCGUGACGCAGCUAACGCAUUAAGUUCCCCGCCUGGGGAGUACGGCCGCAAGGCUAAAACUCAAAGGAAUUGACGGGGACCCGCACAAGCGGCGGAGCAUGCGGAUUAAUUCGAUGCAACGCGAAGAACCUUACCAAGGCUUGACAUAUACGAGAACGGGCCAGAAAUGGUCAACUCUUUGGACACUCGUAAACAGGUGGUGCAUGGUUGUCGUCAGCUCGUGUCGUGAGAUGUUGGGUUAAGUCCCGCAACGAGCGCAACCCUCGUUCUAUGUUGCCAGCACGUAAUGGUGGGAACUCAUGGGAUACUGCCGGGGUCAACUCGGAGGAAGGUGGGGAUGACGUCAAAUCAUCAUGCCCCUUAUGUCUUGGGCUUCACGCAUGCUACAAUGGCCGGUACAAAGGGCUGCAAUACCGUAAGGUGGAGCGAAUCCCAAAAAGCCGGUCCCAGUUCGGAUUGAGGUCUGCAACUCGACCUCAUGAAGUCGGAGUCGCUAGUAAUCGCAGAUCAGCAACGCUGCGGUGAAUACGUUCCCGGG